GCCGCCACCGCCUCAGGGAAGAGGAAGGAGGCCGCGGCUUCGCGUCCCGCCUCUCGCCUGGCUGGCCGUGGGGGGCCUGGACGCAGUGGCCUCCCGAAUCUCCCAGGACCCUAAUAUCGCCCGAGGAUGCUGGGAGGAACGCUGAGCCGACCUCUCCGUUAGGCUGAAGAUUGCACAAACCAUGCUAAUGGCCAGCAUGGAUGGAGGGAGCGUGUGAGAUGUGUGGGGCAGCGUGCUGCAUCUCAGCCAACUCCAGGAGCCAGUUGAUGUGAUGGACUACCUUAAUUGAUUUUUGAAUGUUGAGCCAGCCUUAUGCAUGUGGGAUAAACCCCUGUUGAUCAUGGUAUAGAGCAAUAAAAGAAGAAUUCAAGCAAAGGGAUCAGGAAGAGGAUUGCUACUAAGAGGCAGAGAAACCAAUGAAGCCUUUUGCCAUCUCACACUGGAAAGACAAAAAGUCAUAGAGGCUUGAUUUUUAUAAGGAAAGAGAAGUGAGAAACUGACCUCGAUACUUUGUUGGACUUGCCUAAAGACAUUUGCUGAAUUCUCGGGCUGUGCUGGGAUGGAGAUUAGAGGCCAAAUAAAAACCUCUGGUAAGUAGUGCACAGGUUUUGGUAAUCACUUAUUGCUGAAAAGGGAGGUAUUAGAUGUCAGACCUCCAUAAGUCCUCAGGUGAAACACCUAGAUGCUAUGACCGAAGAGUCAGGAUUGAUCUAGAAGUAAACUGAACCUGUAGUCAUCUCAGUCUCGAAUGGGAACAAAGCAUUAAUCGCCUACUUGAUCUGCUAGCAAAGGAAAUAGUAAUCACUGAAGGAAGAUAAGAUAAAAUCAUCCACAACCCCUAAACAUUUUCAUACACAAUGUGCGACAUUUAAUAAAAAGUUGCUAGGCAUGGCACACCUUAUGACUGAAAAAUAACAAUAGAAAAAACACAAUAAAAACAGUUUCAAGGAAAGCCAAAUAUUAGAAUUAUUAGAAAAAUAAUUUAAGAUAGCUAUGAUUAAUAUGUCAAGAUAAUAGAGAAAAAUGGAGAAUUUUACUAGAAAAUUUGAAUCCAUAAAAUAGAAAUACUAGAACUGAAAAAUUCAAAAACUGAAAUUAAGUACUCAAUAAAAGAGUUUAACAGCACAUUAGCCAUACAAGACCAAAAUAGUAGUAAACUAGAAGAAAAGUGAAUAGAAAAUAUGCAAACUGAAGCAUAAUGUUUAAAAAGGGUGGGUAAUAUAGAAAAGAGAGUACUGUGUACUUUUGAAAUUAAAGUCUCCAAAAGAGAAAAGUACAAGAAUGGGUCAUGUAUCAGUUUGUUCUCAUGCUGCUAUAAAGAACUGCCUGAGACUGGUUAAUUUAUAAAGGAAAGAGGUUUAAUUGACUCAGUUCUGCAUGGCUGGGGAAGCCUCAGGAAACUUACAAUCAUGGUGGAAGAGGAUGGAAACAUGUCCUUCUUCACAUGGUGGCAGGAAGAAGAAGAAUGAGAGAAGUGCAGAACAAAGGGGUGGGGGAAGCCCUUCACAAAACCAUCAGAUCUUGUGAGAACUCAUUCACUAUCACGAGAACAGCAUGGGGGAACUGCCCCCGUAAUUCAUUCACCUCCCAUGAGGUCCCUCUCUGAACAUGUGGGGAUUACAAUUCAGAUUAAAAUUCAAGAUGAGAUCUCGGUGAGGACACAGAGCCAAACCAUAUCAGAUCAGAAGCAAUAUUUUAAUAAAUAAUGGCUGCAAAAUUCUCUGAAAUUAAUGAAAGACAAGCCUCAGAUUCAAGCCUACAAACCCAAAGUAAGAUGAAUUUUAAAAAUACAACCUAAGCACAUUAUAGCCAAACUGUUAAAACCAAAGACAAGUGAAAAUCUUUCAGGCAGUUAGAUUUUAAAAAAAGCAUAGUAGUUGUAAAAGCAACAAAAGACUUAAAUUCACUCCUCAGCUGAGAUGAUGGAAGAUGGAAGACAAUGAAAUAACAUUUAAAAAGUGCUGAAAGAGUUGGGUGUGGUAGCUCACACCUGUAAUCUCAGCUACAUGGAAGGAUGAGGCAGGAGUAUCACUUGAGCCCAGGAAUUUGAGACCAGCCUGGGGAACUUAGACCACAUUUCUAAAAAAAAAGAAAAAGAAAAAAUAUGAAAAGCAAAAGGUGCUGAAAGAAAAUAAUUGCCCAUCUAGAACUCUGUACCAAGCAAAAAUACUAUUCAAAAAUGAAGGCAAAUUGAAGACAUUUCUAGAUAAACAAGAGUGAAAAUAUUCAUCAUUAGCAGAUGUGAACUAAAAGAAAUACUAAAAGGAAUUCCGCAGACAAAAGAAAAAUGGUCCCACACAGAAGCAUGGAAACAUGAGAAAAUAAUAAAGAAAAAUAAAAAGAGAUGAUAUGAGGGUAAAUGUAAGUAAAUAUUCACCAUAUAUGUCAAUAAUUUAAUGUCUUAUGGGGAUUAAAAUGUAGAAUGAAUAUAGGAGCAGAAAAAUAUAAAACAGAUGUUCACUAGAAAAAAUAAACAAAACCCAAAGUGUAUUAUUUGAAAAGAACAAUAAAAUUGAUAGGCCCUUUAGCAUGACAUCAUAAAUAGAAGCAAAGACACAAAUUUUCACUAUUAGGAAGAAAAAUGAAACAUCCAUCAAGUUAUAUAGAUAUCGAAUAGAUUAAUAAGGAAUAUAAUCAAUAAUUAUGUCAUUUAAAAUUGUGGUGAAACUGAGAAAUCCCUAGAAAAACAUAGCCUACCAAAAUGGACACAAAGAGAAAAAAAAUUCAUAUAUCUAUUUUAAAAACCUAACCUAUAAUUAAAAACGUUCACACAAGUAAAACUCCAGAUUCAGUGGUUUCAC
rnacentral:lncRNA from 10 species